GCACCACCUACACACACUAAAGUGGCCCGUAGAAAUGUCAUGGAGAGACCAAACCAAUGCUCACUUGUUCAUCUCAUCAAGACCUAAAAAUCACACACCGACACCCCUGACCUAACUCCAACAGGAAGUCUUCACUCUUGCCUUUCAAAAU